UUUGUUGCGCAAUAAGUCACGUGAUUCCGACUAGAUGGAUAAGCUAUUGGUCUAAAAGAAAAAAAAUUCGAGAAGUUAAAAUUAUUUUAUUUUAUUAUAUAAAAUUAUUUUAUUAUUAAAAUUAUUUUAUUUUAACUUUUAUUUAUUUAUUUAUCCGAAAUCAAUCGAGGGGAAAUGGUUAUUGACUAUGAUUACAUAGGUAAAACUGAGUUUUAUUUUCCUCAGCCUACUGACGCUUUGCCCAAAACAGUUGUUCAAAGCAAUUGCAAAAAACAUGGGUUGAAUACUUCAGAUAAUGAACCUUCCAACACCACUCCUCUGGAUAAUAACCUCAAUAUUUCUUAUCAAUUGAUAAUGAAAUUAGUGAAUUUGAAGCUUUAUCUGAUAACAAUUCAGAUAAAAGUGAUAAGAAUAUUGUAAUAGAUGAAUUAGAGGGUGAUUUAGCAUUUUAAUCUUCUCAGCAUAAUAUCACACAAGAAUUCACUGAUUUAAUUUGCUGAUCUAUGACUAGAGCUGCUUAAACGUUAAUGCAUCCUAAAAUUUUAUUUAAAUUUGUGUUUAUUAUGUAUUUAAAUAAAAUUCAUUAUAUAUAUGUAUUUUUUAUGCUAUAUUUUACAUAAUCUCAUCACCAUUGUCAUCAUCCCCCACCUUUAUUUUCCUUUAUUCAAUAUAUUUAUUCAACCUUAAUUAUAUUUCUUUAUAAUUUCUUUAUUUUUAAUUUGGUGUUGAGUAAAACAAGUACUUCGUUAAGUUUUAAUAGUUAUUUGUUGACUAAAGUAUACACUUAUUAACUCCGUUAAUGUUUAGCCUUAAAAUUAUUUUUACUGAACAUCAUAAUAUCUUAAGGUAUUAUUUUGUAUUUCGUGUAUACUUUUUAAUGUAUACUUUAAGGUGUUUAUAAUAUACCAUAAAAAUUUCUAUAAACUAUAUUUUAAUAUCAGACUUAUGUGUUUAGAGUACAGAAGAAACCUGAUGAAAAUUAUGAUAGUGACUCACAAGAUUUUAAUGAACAUCAAGAAUUCAAAAAGUCUUAUCUGCAGACACCUAUCUCUGUAUUGAAUCAAAGUAGAACAAGAUUGGAAAAAGUGAUCAUAUUUACUUCUGUGAUUAAGAAGCAAUACGAAGAAAUUUGCUGACAAAAGAUACCACAUACAGCGAAAUUUAAAAGGCAGUUGUGGCUUUUUUUUCUGGAGCUCAAGACAGAAAUAGAGGCAGAAAAGAAAGAGCAGAAAAAAAGUCCAUCCAAAAAACCAGUUCAUCAAAAAAUUGUAGCUAUAAUGCCCAAU